GACGAACGCUGGCGGCGCGCUUAAUACAUGCAAGUCGAACGAGAAGCCAGAGCUUGCUCUGGUGGAAAGUGGCGAACGGGUGAGUAACACGUGAGAAACCUGCCCAAAGAUUGGGAUAAGCCUUGGAAACGAGGUCUAAUACCAAAUACCUUCUUUUUAACACAUGUUAAAAAGAAGAAAUGCUCCGGCGCUUUGGGAUGGUCUCGCGAUCUAUCAGCUUGUUGGUGAGGUAACGGCUCACCAAGGCAUCGACGGAUAGCUGGUCUGAGAGGAUGUCCAGCCACAUUGGAACUGAGACACGGUCCAAACUCCUACGGGAGGCAGCAGUAGGGAAUCUUGCACAAUGAGGGAAACCUUGAUGCAGCGACGCCGCGUGCGGGACGAAGGGCCCCUAAGGGUUGUAAACCGCUUUCAGUGGGACGAAAGUGACGGUACCUACAGAAGAAGCCCCGGCAACGUAUGUGCCGAGC
rnacentral:rRNA from 1 species